UGAUCUCCAUGCUUUUCAAGAACAGGUGUC
rnacentral:piRNA from 1 species